GACGAACCGUGCGAACGUUGUUCGGAAUCACUGGGCUUAAAGGGCGCGUAGGCGGCUCACCAAGUCGGGGUGAAAUUUUUCGGCUUAACCGGAAAAGUGCCUUCGAUACUGGUGAACUAGAGCGAGGUAGGGGCGGAUGGAACUUCCGGUGGAACGGUGAAAUGUGUUGAUAUCGGAAGGAACGCCGGUGGCGAAAGCGAUCCGCUGGACCUCUUCUGACGCUGAGGCGCGAAAGCUAGGGGAGCAAACGGG
rnacentral:misc_RNA from 1 species